UACGGAGGGAGCAAGCGUUACUCGGAAUUAUUGGGCGUAAAGAGCGCGCAGGCGGUCGUUCAAGUCGAGUGUGAAAGCCCCCGGCUCAACUGGGGAGGGUCACUCGAUACUGAUCGACUUGAAGGCAGGAGAGGGAAGCGGAAUUCCCGGUGUAGUGGUGAAAUGCGUAGAUAUCGGGAGGAACACCAGUGGCGAAGGCGGCUUCCUGGCCUGUUCUUGACGCUGAGGCGCGAAAGCUAGGGGAGCAAACGGG
rnacentral:rRNA from 1 species